rnacentral:rRNA from 1 species
GACGAACGCUGGCGGCGUGCCUAAUACAUGCAAGUAGAACGCUGAAGGAGGAGCUUGCUUCUCUGGAUGAGUUGCGAACGGGUGAGUAACGCGUAGGUAACCUGCCUGGUAGCGGGGGAUAACUAUUGGAAACGAUAGCUAAUACCGCAUAAUAUUGACUAUUGCAUGAUAGUCAGUUGAAAGGUGCAACUGCACCACUACCAGAUGGACCUGCGUUGUAUUAGCUAGUUGGUGGGGUAACGGCUCACCAAGGCGACGAUACAUAGCCGACCAGAGAGGGGGAUCGGCCACACUGGGACUGAGACACGGCCCAGACUCCUACGGGAGGCAGCAGUAGGGAAUCUUCGGCAAUGGACGGAAGUCUGACCGAGCAACGCCGCGUGAGUGAAGAAGGUUUUCGGAUCGUAAAGCUCUGUUGUAAGAGAAGAACGAGUGUGAGAGUGGAAAGCUCACACUGUGACGGUAUCUUACCAGAAAGGGACGGCUAACUACGUG